rnacentral:rRNA from 1 species
GGCCGGAUUUUACACAAGUGUUGCAUGGCUGUCGUCAGCUCGUGUCGUGAGAUGUUGGGUUAAGUCCCGCAACGAGCGCAACCCUCAUCCUUAGUUGCCAUCAGGUAAUGCUGAGUACUUUAAGGAAACUGCCAGUGAUAAGCUGGAGGAAGGUGGGGAUGAUGUCAAGUCAUCAUGGCCUUUAUGGAGUGGGCUACACACGUGCUACAAUGGUGUCUACAAUGGGCUGCAAGGUGCGCAAGCCUAAGCUAAUCCCUAAAAGACAUCUCAGUUCGGAUUGUACUCUGCAACUCGAGUACAUGAAGUUGGAAUCGCUAGUAAUCGUGGAUCAGCAUGCCACGGUGAAUACGUUCUCGGGUCUUGUACACACUGCCCGUCAC